UACGUAGGGUGCGAGCGUUGUCCGGAAUUACUGGGCGUAAAGAGCUCGUAGGUGGUUUGUCGCGUUGUUCGUGAAAACCGGGGGCUUAACCCUCGGCGUGCGGGCGAUACGGGCAGACUUGAGUACUGCAGGGGAGACUGGAAUUCCUGGUGUAGCGGUGGAAUGCGCAGAUAUCAGGAGGAACACCGGUGGCGAAGGCGGGUCUCUGGGCAGUAACUGACGCUGAGGAGCGAAAGCGUGAGGAGCGAACAGG
rnacentral:rRNA from 1 species